UGCCCGGCAACCACCAUGUAAGAAAGCGACUCUAGCUCAUGGAAGAUGAGAGGUCAUGUGGAGGAAACCAAGGCACCCUAGCCAUUCGUCACCACCUACUGCCAGGCAGUUGUUUGGCUGCAAGGCAUGUGGGAUCUUAGUCUCCUGACCAGGGAUUGAACCCACACCCCUGCAUUGGAAGGUCUACUGAUAAGCAUGAAAAUCUGGAAAUGACUCGAGUCAUUGCAAAACAGGCUAUCAGACAUCGAUAUGAAGGCAUGCCUGUUGACCCAUUAAAAAUGACAAGUAUGUGGACUGUGUUGAUACAGGUAAUGUGAUUGAUUUUGGUGAGGGAUUGCUUCCUUUUGAGGAGAGAAUUCCAGACAAUUUGCUUAAGUGAAGGAAAUUUUAUUUUGAGAAUAUGGAGGUAUCUUGGAGCUCCCAAGAGCAAUAAAAUAGAUGCAGAUUUAUCUAAGGAAUGGGACCCGGACCUGGAAAGUCAUCAGGGCAAGACAAUGCCCCUGAACAGUGACACCAAUUCUCUCCUUCACCAAACUCAGCCAGGCUCCUCUGAGCCUUUUCUCUUUGGGUCCUCAAGCUUGGUCUGUAAAGACUUGAACAAGCACAAACGUGGUUUCUAACAGCUCAAGGUCACAUCCUUCGAAUGACCGUAGGCCCCACUAGAAGUGCCUGCCUGAGAAAACUCCAGGCUGCCAAAGGAAUUUAUAGUUUGUUCCAGCAACACCUGAAGACUCUGAAGUAUCUGUGGGAGGGAAGGAGGGAACCUCACUUUGAUAAGUUAGUAUUUAACUUACUAAGUUUUAACUUUGACAAGUUUUCUGACAAAAGCCAGAAAAGGUUGCUGCUGCUACUGCUGCUAAGUCGCUUCAGUCGUGUCCAACUCUGUGCGACCCUAAAGACGGCAGCCCAACAGGCUGCCCCAUCCCUAGGAUUCUCCAGGCAAGAACACUGGAGUGGGUUGCCAUUGCCUUCUCCAAAGAAAAGGUUAAAUGGUACAUAAAAUACAGACAUUUAUCAAAUCCCCUCUUUUUUUCCUGUCAAAAUUCUUGUGCUCAUAAUUUAAAAAAUACAUUUCUGCACAGUUAUAUAGUGGUUUCCAUCAAUGUAUAGAGGUAGAAACAUUCAUCUAUCAUUGGGUUGUAUAUUAAUAGGCAAUAAGACUUAAAAAGUGGAUUAAAAUAGACUGAAGAAAUUAAAGAAGGCUGGGUGGGCCCUAAUUUGAGGUCAGGAAUUCUAUAUUUAGAAGGAAUUUGUCCCUUAUCAUGUGUUGCCAAUUUCUGGUUUCCACAUGUGACUCCUACCCACACCCUUUGGCUGUGAAGCUUAGUGCUAUUUUGUUAGAGGAGCCACGUGAAGAAUGGAGGCGCCUGGAAGGUGAGGCAGACUGCAGGCUGCUAAACAAUGUAUUUUCAUGACUGUUUCCCUCUGCCUGGAACAUAUAUUCCUUCUUCUUGGUGAAAUUCCUAUGCAUCGUUCAAGGCCCUGAUCACGUGAUACUUCCUAUAGGAGCCACCUCUGAUAGGCUGCUGCUGCUACUGCUAAGUCACUUCAGUCGUGUCCAACUCUGUGUGACUCCAUAGACGGCAGCCCACCAGGCUUCCCCAUCCCUGGGAUUCUCCAGGCAA